GCGGGGCUUUGGCAGACCAAGGCUCCAGUUUCACCUCCGCUGGUCCUUCAGUGAGGAAGAGGACAAAAUAAAGGUGUAAAGCAGCUCAGCAGAAACAUGAGGUUAUCAGUGACAGCUUCUUUAUUUAUAACAUUUGGAUUAAUACAUCCGAUCAACAGUUUGCUUUCCGCCUCUCCGGAGGACCUUGAGGGAUCAGGGUACGAUCUGGACAGCUCAGGUUCUGGUUCAGGAGAUGGCUCAGAUCCAGAUAAAACUGAGAGCAACACAGUUAACAGCGAAGAUGUCAGACUUCUUGCAGCAGGAGGAGGAAACGAUAAUACUUUACAUGGUUCUUCAGGUUUGACCUUUGACAGCACACUCUGGCCUGCAGGAGACUCUGGAUUUGUUUUUAUAGAAAGCAGCAAGUGGCCCUGGGAGCGGCCCGACAUCCACGCAGCCCUUAUUGCAGGGGGAGUGACAGGAGCGAUACUUGCAGCUAUGCUGAUGGCAGUAUUAAUCUACCAAAUGCAGAAUCAUGAUGAGGAAGGACCCAUUCUAGCCUGGAAGAAGGAUGCAAAUGAAGGUUAUCACAAACCCACAAGAGAUGUUAUUGUUUAACUCUGUUGCAUCAAUGUUGGUUUUAUAAGCUGAUAAUAGUGGGCCAGUAUAGUUUAGGUUCAGAAUAUCUCACAAUAUUGAUCUAUCAACUGUUAAAAACUGGAAAAAUUGACUGAUUCUGAACUCUCCAACUAAAUUGUCAUCAUAAUGUGUGAGAUACCAUUUAAAACUUUACGUUAAAACAUAAAAAUUGUAUGUACUGUAUGUAAUGAUCCUAGUUUAUUGCUUUUGUAUAAUGAUUUAUCAAAGAAAUGUAUAAGAUUCUCCUCCAUUUGUUUUAAUGGAACCUCUAGCAUAUAAUGUCAGUGUUUCCUGUUUCAUGAAAGGACGGUGCAGUGAAGGUCUUUCAGCAUAUGUAGCCUUGUUCAAAUGUUGAUUCAUUUUUGUUUUUUUUAGAAAAUAAUAUUAUCCAUUAUUUUUUUAUAUAUGAAAACAUGAUUUAUUUUCUCGGAUAGAAAUGUUGGUGCUUUUAUUCACUUUAGGGGGAAAGUACAUGUUAAGUGUAGUACUAUUAAUUAUUUUAUUAAUUAAUUGCAUGUACGUUUUAUGUAUAAUUGCUUUAAACUGGCAGCUCCAUACUCUUUACACAUUGUAGCACUUAAAUAAAAAAAACAUAAAAUCCUUCUUAGGACUUAAA
rnacentral:lncRNA from 1 species